AACAGAAACAGCUGUGUAGGAGGCAUAAACCUGGCUUAGAACCUGGCCAAACUCUGCUUCUUAAGUGAGGUUGUGGAAGCCGAAGUUCAUACACCAUGGCAAGAAUGAGCACAGCAACAAGACACAAGAAAGAAGAGACUAUGUCUUCAUUGAGUCCUGAUAUGGAAAUAUCGGUGUGACUCCAUACCUGGAUAAGUAGUAGUACACUAUAUGGACAAAAGUAUUGGAACACCUGACUGGUUCUUUCUUAAACUGUUAUCAAAAUUUUAAGGAUGCCCAACCCUGUACCAGAUUGACCCUGUGCACAAAGCCAGCUCCAUGAAGAUAUGAUUUAAAUGGGUUGGAGUGGAAGAUCGUGUGUGGCCUGCUAAAAAAAGCAAUGACAUCAACCCUACUAAUUGCCUUUGAAAUUAAUUAGAAUGCUGACUGCACCCCAGGUCUCCCUUCCUCACCUACAUCAGUACCUGAAUUUACUAAAACCUUUGAAGCUGAAUGAGCACAAUUUUCCACAAACAUACUCUAAAAUUUAGUUCAACAUUUUCCCAGAACAUUUAUAGCAUUUAGCAGACUCGAACAAUAACAAGCAAUUUACAACUCACCAGAUGAGGAUUAAGGCCUUGCUCAAGGGCCCAGCAGUAACAGCUUGGAGAUGCUGGGAUUUGAACCUAUUACCUUCUAAUCCAGAGUCCAAUGUCGUAACCACUGAGCAACACCCUUCCCAGAAGAGUGGAGAUUUUUAUCAAAUGGGGACUAAAUUGAAAUAGGAUGUUCAGAAAGCACAUGUGAAUCUUAUGGUCAUGUGAAACUUUCCUCCAUCCAUAGAGUGUAUCUAUACUACCAUAGAUAGUACCAUAGCUUAGUCUUGUUUCAAUUACAUCUAUGCAAAUUUUAUUGUGACUUCAAAAUUUUCAUCCAAAUGUUUCUGCCAAGUGUUUUUGUUUGCAAUUAAAGUGUUUUUAUAGUGCAAUUUUGUGACAAAGUGCUUUAGGGAUAAAUUGACAUGAAAUAUAUUUCUAGUUUUCAAAUAGCAUAUGACAGAGAAACAGGAAUGUCUAGUUAUCCUUUUUUUUUAAAACAUUGUA